AGAUUAGCUUGCUUUAAUUGUCAGCUAAGUGGCGCACGGGUGAGUAAUGUAUAGGUAAUAUGCCUCUUACUAAGGGAUAACAAAUGGAAACGUUUGCUAAUACCUUAUACUCCUUAUUAACAGAAGUUAAUAAGGGAAAGAUUUAUUGGUAAGAGAUUAGCCUGUAUUGUAUCAGUUAGUUGGUGGGGUAAUGGCUUACCAAGACUAUGACACGUAACUGGUUUGAGAGGAUGAUCAGUCGCACUGGAACUGAGACACGGUCCAGACUCCUACGGGAGGCAGCAGUGGGGAAUAUUGCACAAUGGACGAAAGUCUGAUGCAGCAACGCCGCGUGGAGGAUGACACAUUUCGGUGCGUAAACUCCUUUUAUAUGAGAAGAUAAUGACGGUAUUAUAUGAAUAAGCACCGGCUAACUCCGUGCCAGCAGCCGCGGUAAUACGGGGGGUGCAAGCGUUACUCGGAAUCACUGGGCGUAAAGAGCAUGUAGGCGGAUUAAUAAGUUUGAAGUGAAAUCCUAUAGCUUAACUAUAGAACUGCUUUGAAAACUGUUAAUCUAGAAUGUGGGAGAGGUAGAUGGAAUUUCUGGUGU
rnacentral:rRNA from 1 species